rnacentral:tRNA from 1 species
AUAACUCAGUGGUAGAGUGCAUGCUUAGCAAGUGUGGGGUCUUGGAUUCAAUUUCCAGU